CUGGGGUUCGGGUCGGCGGUUUGCCACUCUGUGGCUACUGCCGUGCUCGACUCUUACUAGCUGGUGCGUCUCUUGGUAUUCUUCACUGAGUGCCACGAGAGCCUAGCAUGUUUACUUUGAAAAAAUUAGAGUGCUCAAAGCAGGCGUCUACGCCUGAAUAGUGUUGCAUGGAAUAAUGGAAUAGGACCUCGGUUCUAUUUUGUUGGUUUUCGGAACUUGAGGUAAUGAUUAAGAGGGACGGUCGGGGGCAUUCGUAUUUCGGUGUUAGAGGUGAAAUUC
rnacentral:rRNA from 1 species